AACGACUCUCGGCAACGGAUAUCUCGGCUCUCGCAUCGAUGAAGAACGUAGCGAAAUGCGAUACUUGGUGUGAAUUGCAGAAUCCCGUGAACCAUCGAGUCUUUGAACGCAAGUUGCGCCCGACGCCUUUUGGUUGAGGGCACGUCUGCUUGGGUGUCACGCA
rnacentral:rRNA from 1 species